UACGGGGGGAGCAAGCGUUGUUCGGAUUUACUGGGUGUAAAGGGUUCGUAGGCGGUGCGGCAAGUUGGGAGUGAAAUCUCUGGGCUUAACCCAGAGGCUGCUUCCAAAACUGCUGUGCUUGAGUGUGGGAGAGGCGCGUGGAAUUGCAGGUGUAGCGGUGAAAUGCGUAGAUAUCUGCAGGAACACCCGUGGCGAAAGCGGCGAGCUGGAUCACUACUGACGCUGAGGAACGAAAGCUAGGGGAGCAAACAGG
rnacentral:rRNA from 1 species